rnacentral:rRNA from 1 species
ACGCUCGACACCUACGGGGAGGCAGCAGGUGGGGGAUAUUGCACAAUGGGGGAAACCCUGAUGCAGCAACGCCGCGUGAAGGAAGAAGGUCUUCGGAUUGUAAACUUCUGUCCUCAGGGAAGAUAAUGACGGUACCUGAGGAGGAAGCUCCGGCUAACUACGUGCCAGAGCCGCGGUAAUCUGAGGCGGGCUGGCAAGGC